rnacentral:rRNA from 1 species
AAUAUUGCGCAAUGGGGGAAACCCUGACGCAGCAACGCCGCGUGAGCGAUGAAGGCCNNNGGGUCNUCAAGCUCUGUCUUUAGNGACNAUAAUGACGGUACCUAAGGAGGAAGCCACGGCCAACUACGUGCCAGCAGCCGCGGUAAUACGUAGGUGGCGAGCGUUGUCCGGAAUUACUGGGCGUAAAGGGUGCGUAGGCGGAAUCUUAAGUCAGAUGUGAAAUCCCUGGGCUUAACCUGGGAAUGGCAUUUGAAACUGGGGUUCUAGAGUGCAGGAGAGGAAAGCGGAAUUCCUAGUGUAGCGGUGAAAUGCGUAGAUAUUAGGAAGAACACCAGUGGCGAAGGCGGCUUUCUGGACUGUAACUGACGCUGAGGCACGAAAGCGUGGGGAGCAAACAGG